UUGGACACCAAGAAAAUAUAAAGAAAUAAAUCUUUAGGAGGGGGUAAACCAAGGCAUGUUUGUCUCCCCUACUUCAGUAAAGGGAUGCUCUUGCUUCCCAAUCCUUUGAUUGGGUCUUCUUAGUUAUUGACCCCUGCGAAUUGCCCCAAAUCCUAUAGUAAAUUAGAAUGCUGAAUGACUAGUCCCCAGAUGCAAUUGGAUCUGCCCUUUCAAAGAUUAUAACGAACUAGCAUAGCAAAAUAUGUCUUUGUUCCCCUUUCUUUCCUUUACUUCUAAUAAUGUAACAUACAUAUAUUUGGGUAUGAUAUAAAGAUGCAAGGGAAAUAUUGGAUAUGUUUCUGUAAUCCAUCUCUUAUCUAGACUACAGUUGCCUCUUCAGUGCAUCCAUUGAAAAGGAGGGCAGAAGACUCUGACUGAGAGGACAAGAGAAAUUGCCUGGUAGGGUUCUUCUGCCUUGUCCUCGUCCCCCCCCCAGCACCUCACCAGUUGUGUUUAUUUGAAUAAUUGGGGUGGGUGUCAGAGAACCUUCCCUCUUGUAACCACCAAGCAUUCUUCACUGAACAAUACUUCUAAAAAUGGGGUAGGGCGGGCAAGAAGCAGUUUGUGAUUUUGGGGUGCGUGGAGGGAGGGGAAGGAAGGAGAAGAAUCCGCCAAAAGAGAUUCUCCAAGGUUGCUUGGAAGAUGAAGCUUCCCAAAGAGGAAAUCUCCAACCGCAACACAAUGAUAACAGAUUGAGACCUCCCAGGCCUUCUGAAAAUUCAUACAACCUCCCUGUCUACUCAGCAAUUUGCCCUCGAGGAGUCGGCCGUCUGAGUGGAAGGAGGCCAGCUUUGUGAAAUUGGAUUCGUCAGGAUUUUGCUUCAUUUUUUCCUACAGGUUUGAUGUCCAUUAGAGCGCCCAGAAUAAGCACUGACUUGAUAUGCCCAUGUCGAGCUUCCGUACAUGCCAUUGUUUGUGCCACACGAGUGCCAGAUUCACAGUUUUGUGGAGCUGAGGAUGAGAUAUUCUCAGUGGACUCUCUCCAAAUCCUCUCCUGCUUUUUCUGACCUCCCUGAGCAUUCAGAGAUGGAGAGAUGAGCCCUUUGACCUACCUUGCCAUCCAAUGGAGCCAGCUCUGGGUCUGAAAAAUGCAGUAUGAAGUAAUCGUAAGGAAAAGAGGGUUUCAAAGCAUGUGCAGAGUGCAUUUCCCACAGACCUAAUUAACCCUCUGUUAGGAAGAAGGACUCCCCUGUCAAUGACUUUCAGCUUGGCAUAAGCCCCAGCACUGAAAAGCUUCUGGGCUUGAACCUUGGUCAUUUGGGGCUGCAUUUGAGGAAUGAGGGAUUUAUGCAGUGGAGGGCCAGAAAAUAAUCAGGAUCACCUAAUCAUAUCUGGUAGCAGUCAAAGGCCUCUUGUAUGGGUGAGUACAUUAGCCAGCCUCAUUUUCCUGUGUGUGUAUAGAGCCCAGAAAUACAAGAAAAUGUGGUUUGAAACCAAGGAUCAUAAAAAGAUAGCUUGCUCUCCCCCCCCC